rnacentral:ncRNA from 1 species
CGGGUUGACUCUGGAGAGCGGCGGAUUUACCGCCCACCGACGGGGCAGGCGCGGAUUGCGCCCAAACUCUCAGGUACCAGGACAGAGGGGCGGGA